rnacentral:tRNA from 1 species
GUGUGGCUCAGUGGUGAAGCACUUGCCUAGCAUGCAGGAAGCCCUGGGUUCAAUCCCUAGCAC